CCCUUAGAUGUUCUGGGCCGCACGCGCGCUACACUGAUGCAUUCAACGAGCCUAGCCUUGACCGAGAGGUCCGGGUAAUCUUUGAAACUGCAUCGUGAUGGGACUAGAUUAUUGCAAUUAUUAAUCUUCAACGAGGAAUGCCUAGUAAGCGUGAUUCAUCAAAUCGCGUUGAUUACGUCCCUGCCCUUUGUACACACCGCCCGUCGCUCCUACCGAUUGAGUGUGUUGGUGAGGAGUUUGGAUUGGCCUCGGAAGGUGGUUCGCCACCGUCCGUAGCUGAGAAGUUCUCCAAACCGCCCCACUUAGAGGAAGGAGAAGUCGUAACA
rnacentral:rRNA from 1 species